GCCUAACACAUGCAAGUCGAGCGGCAGCACGGGAAGCUUGCUUCCUGGUGGCGAGCGGCGGACGGGUGAGUAAUGCAUAGGAAUCUGCCCGGUAGUGGGGGAUAACCUGGGGAAACCCAGGCUAAUACCGCAUACGUCCUACGGGAGAAAGCAGGGGCUCUUCGGACCUUGCGCUAUCGGAUGAGCCUAUGUCGGAUUAGCUGGUUGGUGAGGUAAUGGCUCACCAAGGCGACGAUCCGUAGCUGGUCUGAGAGGAUGAUCAGCCACAUCGGGACUGAGACACGGCCCGAACUCCUACGGGAGGCAGCAGUGGGGAAUAUUGGACAAUGGGCGCAAGCCUGAUCCAGCCAUGCCGCGUGUGUGAAGAAGGCCCUCGGGUUGUAAAGCACUUUCAGUGGGGGAAGAAAGCCUUCCGGUUAAUACCCGGGAGGAAGGACAUCACCCACAGAAGAAGCACCGGCUAACUCCGUGCCAGCAGCCGCGGUAAUACGGAGGGUGCGAGCGUUAAUCGGAAUUACUGGGCGUAAAGCGCGCGUAGGUGGCUUGAUAAGCCGGUUGUGAAAGCCCCGGGCUCAACCUGGGAACGGCAUCCGGAACUGUCAGGCUAGAGUGCAGGAGAGGAAGGUAGAAUUCCCGGUGUAGCGGUGAAAUGCGUAGAGAUCGGGAGGAAUACCAGUGGCGAAGCGGCCUUCUGGACUGACACUGACACUGAGUGCGAAAGCGUGGGUAGCAACAGGAUUAGAUACCCGUAGUCCACGCCGUAACGAUGUCGACUAGCCGUUGGGUCCUUCGCGGACUUUGGCGCAGUUAACGCGAUAAGUCGACCGCCGGGAGUACGGCCGCAAGGUUAAAACUCAAAUGAAUUGACGGGGGCCCGCACAAGCGGUGGAGCAUGUGGUUUAAUUCGAUGCAACGCGAAGAACCUUACCUACCCUUGACAUCCUCGGAAUCCGCCAGAGAUGGCGGAGUGCCUUCGGGAACCGAGAGACAGGUGCUGCAUGGCUGUCGUCAGCUCGUGUUGUGAAAUGUUGGGUUAAGUCCCGUAACGAGCGCAACCCUUGUCCCUAUUUGCCAGCGAUUCGGUCGGGAACUCUAGGGAGACUGCCGGUGACAAACCGGAGGAAGGUGGGGACGACGUCAAGUCAUCAUGGCCCUUACGGGUAGGGCUACACACGUGCUACAAUGGUCAGUACAAAGGGUUGCGAACUUGCGAGAGUGAGCCAAUCCCAGAAAGCUGAUCUCAGUCCGGAUCGGAGUCUGCAACUCGACUCCGUGAAGUCGGAAUCGCUAGUAAUCGUGAAUCAGAAUGUCACGGUGAAUACGUUCCCGGGCCUUGUACACACCGCCCGUCACACCAUGGGAGUGGACUGCACCAGAAGUGGUUAGCCUAACCUUCGGGAGGGCGAUCACCACGGUGUGGUUCAUGACUGGGGUGAAGUCGUAACAAGGUAGCCGUAGGGGAACCUGCGGCUGGAUCACCUCCUU
rnacentral:rRNA from 1 species